rnacentral:rRNA from 1 species
ACGGGGGGGGCAAGCGUUGUUCGGAAUUACUGGGCGUAAAGGGCGCGUAGGCGGUUCGCUAAGUUGAAUGUGAAAACUCUGGGCUUAACCCAGAGCCUGCAUCCAAAACUGGCGAACUGGAGUACUGGAGGGGAAAGCGGAAUUCCUGGUGUAGCGGUGAAAUGCGUAGAUAUCAGGAGGAAUACCGAUGGCGAAGGCAGGUCUCUGGGCUGACACUGACGCUCAUGCACGAAAGCGUGGGGAGCAAACAGGA